rnacentral:lncRNA from 1 species
CAGAGUGAACAGGCAGCCUACAGAAUGGGAGAAAAUUAAAAUCAUGUGGAAGCUGCCACGGCUUAAGGCUUGCACCCUCUGAAGCCUCAAACCGAGCUCUACGUUGGCGCCUUCCAGCCAUGGCUGGAGCAGCUGAAACACAGGGCACCAAGUCCCUAGACUGCACACAGCAUGGGGGCCCUGGGUCCUGCCAUCAAGACCAUUAUUUCCUCCUAGACCUCCGUAUGGUAGAACAGUCAUCACAAAGAAUUUGAGCCAGACCUGAAGGAAGAGUAGAUUUUGAAAGAACAAAAUUUGGUGCUUAGGCCACAAGAAAUAGUGGGGAAAUGAAUAUUUGGGGAGCAAUGACUAGAUGAGUCAGUCUGGCAAAAUCAAAGGAUUCAAAUCAUUACCAGAGAUAAGUAAGGGAGCAGCUCAAGUUGCUCUUGGAUGCCACAGUCGGGAGCUUCUGUCUUGCUCUGUUCUCCAUGAAAAACAGAAGACUGAGUCAGAAGAAAAUGCAUCAGGCAUCUGUGGAGAGGAUGGAAUGGAAA